UACGUAGGGUGCGAGCGUUAAUCGGAAUUACUGGGCGUAAAGCGUGCGCAGGCGGUUCGUCGUGUCCGAUGUGAAAGCCCCGGGCUCAACCUGGGAAUGGCAUUGGAAACUGGCGGACUCGAGUGUGGCAGAGGGGGGUGGAAUUCCGCGUGUAGCAGUGAAAUGCGUAGAGAUGCGGAGGAACACCGAUGGCGAAGGCAGCCCCCUGGGCUAACACUGACGCUCAGGCACGAAAGCGUGGGGAGCAGACAGG
rnacentral:rRNA from 1 species